GACGAACGCUGGCGGCGUGCUUAACACAUGCAAGUCGAACGGAAAGGCCCUGCUUUUGUGGGGUGCUCGAGUGGCGAACGGGUGAGUAACACGUGAGUAACCUGCCCUUGACUUUGGUAUAACUUCAGGAAACUGGGGCUACUACCGGAUAGGAGCUCAUGCUGCAUGGUGGGCGUUGGAACGUUUCGGCGGUUGGGGAUGGACUCGCGGCUUAUCAGCUUGCUGGUGGGGUAGUGGCAUACCAAGGCUUUGACGGGUAGCCGGCCUGGGAGGGUGACCGGGCACAAUAGGACUGAGAUACGGCCCAGUCUCGAACAGUAGGCAGUGGGGGGGAGUCUUGUACAACGGGCGGGAGCCGGUUGCGGCAACGCCGCGUGCGGGAAGACGGCUUGCUGGUUGUGAACCGCAUUAGCCUGUGACGAAGCGGGAGUGACGGUAAUGGGUGAAUAAGCACCGGCUAACUACGUG
rnacentral:rRNA from 1 species